AUUUGCUUUCAGUCUCUCUUCCAGGCUCUGAGAGAGCAGGACGGAGUCCAUGGGGUUCCCCAGUGUAUCCUGAGCACCUGGCACAUUUGUCAAAAGAACGAAUCAAUGAAUGACUUGAAUGAAAUCUCCACAUUCCUGUUCACACCCUUGCUCCUAGCACAGAAACUGUAGGUGCCCAGACUUGGCAGGAUGGAGCCCAUCUUGUCAGAGGUGGGAGGGGAGCCGGGGUUGGGGGGGGAGGAGGGCGGGGUUCCAGUCUCACAUCUGCUCUUCCUGUUCAUCACUUAUUUCCGGUGGGAAGUCCCAGAGGCCAGAGGUCAUGUCUGGGUCUCAGGGCUAUCCCCAGCACAUCCCUAUGGGAGCCGCGCGUGGCCUGCCCCACAGUCACAGCUGCCAGCUAGCUGUGACUCAUGGCUCAUGAGCCUUUCCUCUUGGCCAGAGAUUGGGGAGCAGAUAUUACAGUAACAUUACUAACCGCAUGUGGUGGCUGUGACCCUGCUUGUGCUCAGAGCACCUCCCCCUACCCCGAGGGCAGAGCAGUGACCUCACCCUCGGGGGUCAGCAGCAAGCAAGGACAGUCCUUCCCAGAGGCUGUGGGAUGGGCUGGACGGCCCUGGUCUGCUUGCGAAGCCCAGAGUCUGGCCCCGUCCCCUCAGAGUUGGUUGCACACCCUCCCUCUCCCCCACCAAAGCAGCCCAGUUGGGGCAGGGGCUCAGCCAAGGUGGGCAGGAGUGGGAGAGGGGAAGUGGCAGAGGCUGCCCCAUCCUUGCCCUUCCUCACUGCUGGCUCCAGGACGCUCAUGCCGGGGAAAGUGGCGUCUGAGGAUGUGGCUGCGGUGGCCAGCUUCUGGCGCCAGCAGAAAUCCCCAAGCCCGUCAGUAGACCCUGUUCAGACGCGUCGGCUGACCGUGGCAUUGACAAACAAGAAAAAAACGAUCUUACAUAAAAGUCACCGUGACUCCAGGUGGCCUGAGGGAGAACUGUGACUGCCCACGAGAUGAGCCCUGAUGCAGAGGGAGCUAUGGACAGUCAGGAAUGAAAGGGUCCAGCGCCCUCAGCGGAACCUCCGCCAGCAUCUGAGCCUCCCGGCCUCCGCUCCCACCUCCAUAGAAUCACACAAGGUGUAUCCUGAUUUGGACAUGAGAAAACUGGCAUGGAGAGAGUGAGGGACCCCCAAGGAGUUAACAGUAAAGGGGACACAGGUUUGAGCCCUGGUCCAGGAAGAUCCCACAUGCCGCGGAGCAACUAAGCCCGUGCACCACAACUACUGAGCCUGCGCUCUAGAGACCACGAGCCACAACUACUGAAGAUUGUGUGCCACAACUACUGAAGCCCGCACGCCUAGAGCCUGUGCUCUGCAACAAGAGAAGCCACUGCAGUGAGAAGCCCGUGCACCGCAACGAAGAGUAGCCCCCGCUCGCCACAACUA